rnacentral:rRNA from 1 species
UUUAAAAAUAAAUUUUGAUUUAUAAAAUUUAAUUAAUUAAAAUAAUAAUAAAAAUUAUAAAAAUUUUAGUAAUUAUAAUGAAAAAAUAUAUAAAAUAAUAUUAAAGUAUUGUAAAAGAAUAUAUAUAUAUUUAAUUAAAUAUAAAGAUAAAUUAUUUUUUUUUACCUUUUGUAUCAGGGUUAAUUAAAAAUUUUUAUUUAUUUAAAUAUUUCGAAAUUAAUUGAGUUAAAAUUUAAUUAUAAUUAAUAUUAUAAAAUUAUUAUAAAUUAAAUUUUAGUAAUUAUAUGUUAUUCAUAAUUAAUAAUAUCUAGUUUUUUAAUAGAUGAAUUUAAUUCAGUAAUUUAUUUAAAUUAAAUUAUUUAUUAAAUUUUUAAUUUUAAUAAAUAAAAUAAAUUAUAAAAUUUUGGGGGAUAAACUUUAAAAUUAAUUUUAUAAAUAAUUUUAUAAAAUUUAUUUAAAAAUAUAAUUUAAAAUUUUAAUUUUUAAAAAAUAUUUAAUAAUUUAUAGAAAUUUUUAUAUAAUAAUAAUUUAAAAAAUUAUUUUAAAUGUUAUAUUAAAAUAUAAAUUUAAAUUUAAAAAAUUUAGUAAUAAUGAUUAAAUUAGUAAAAAUUAAUUAAAAUAAAAAAAUUUAAAAAUUUGAUAAAAUUAAAUUAAUGAAUUAGGCAAAAAAAAAUAUUUACCUGUUUAUUAAAAACAUGUCUUUAAGAAUAUUAAUAUUUAAAGUCUAAUCUGCUCAAUGAUAUAAUAUAUUAAAUAGCUGCAAUAUUUUAAUUGUACAAAGGUAGCAUAAUUAUUUGUCUUUUAAAUGAGGGAUGGAAUGAAAGAUUAUAUAAAAUAUUAACUAUAUAAAAUUUAAUUAAUUAAAAUUUAUUUUUAAGUAAAAAAUCUUAAAUUAUUUUGUUAGACGAUAAGACCCUAUAGAACUUUAUAAUUAAUAUAAAUAUAAAUAUUAAUUUUAAAAUAUAAUUAAAAAUUAUAUUAUAUAAUUUAUUAAUUAUUUUAUUGGGGGUAUAAAAAAAUUAUUUAAUUUUUUUAUUUAAAAAAUCAUUUUAUAUAUGUAAAAAUAAUAAAAGUUAUUAAAAAAUUUUAUUAUUAAUUAAAAGAGUGUUUUUAAUAAAAAUUAAUAGAUUAAGUUACCUUAGGGAUAACAGCAUAAUUCUUUUAGAGAGAUCUUAUUGAUAAAAGAGAUUAUGACCUCGAUGUUGAAUUAAGAUAAAUAUUAAAAGGAGAAUUUUAUUUAUUAAGUUUGUUCAACUUUUAAAAUCUUACAUGAUUUGAGUUAAAAUCGGUGUGAGCCAGAUUGGUUUUUAUCUUUAAAAAAUUAAUUAUAAAUAAUUGUACGAAAGGACUUUAUUUAUUAAAUUUUUUAAUUAUUAAUAAAUUUUAUUGAAUUAAAUUAAUAAAUUAAAUAGAAAAAU